rnacentral:misc_RNA from 1 species
CGUUAUCUAUYCGGCCAGGCGGUGGCACCGUUCGUCGCUUGGCCAAAGUCCUCGAUAACCUUCUCUCCUCGGAGCGGGGGCUCGGGGUAAAAGAACCCACGGCGCCGAAGGCGUCAAGGAACACUGUGCCUAACCCGGGGACGCGGCUGGCUUGCUAGCCGCCCCCUGUGUUGCAAUGCUAUAUAAUCCACACGACUCUCGGCAACGGAUAUCUCGGCUCUCGCAUCGAUGAAGAACGUAGCGAAAUGCGAUACCUGGUGUGAAUUGCAGAAUCCCGCGAACCAUCGAGUCUUUGAACGCAAGUUGCGCCCGAGGCCACCUGGCCGAGGGCACGCCUGCCUGGGCGUCACGCCAAAUACGCUCCCACACCCUCAUCGGGUGGUGGGAUGCGGCAUGUGGCCCCCCGUCACGCAAGRGGCGGUGGGCCGAAGAUGCGGCUGCCGGCGUAUCGUGUCGGACACAGCGCGUGGUGGGCGACCUCGCUUUACUUACCGCAGUGCAUCUGRCAUGUAGCYGACRUGAUGGCCUUAAUGGACCCUAUAAACGGAGCG